CUCUAGCCCUGAUCGCAGUGGAAAUCCCGGAAUGAGGCGCGAGCCGCGGCAGCGGCGAGUGCCGAAAUGAGGAAUUGUAACGUAGAGCAGGUCGAAAU
rnacentral:sRNA from 1 species